AGAACAGACAGACAGAAAGUGACAGUUGGUGGGGAUAAAACUGGCCGUGGAGAUGCCUGGGUGGGGGCUGCCCAGGGAGUGGGGCUCCCACAGUGUCAGGAGGCCUGGCUAGAGGGUAGAGACAAGAGGCCCCGCCCACCCAGGGAGGGGACAGGAAGUGGUCCAACUUCUUCCCCAGAGCCACACCCCGGAAGUCUAUGUCCCCACCAGAUUGUGACCUCCCUGGGAUUAGGAACUGUGUCUAUUUUAUCCACUGCUAUGUUCCUGGUUCCCAGCCCCAGCCUGGCCCAUAUGGGAAGCCUGAUGAAGCCCACCACCGAGU